UUUGGGAGAAAAUUAGGGAUCUUGGAGGAGCAUUCCUCUAAUAUCAUGUAAAAUUACAAUGAUAAAUAGCUCAUUAUAAUUCAAAAAAGCCAUUCUUUAGCUCAUAAUCUCAAAUCAUGCUUCAAAAAAGGUACAAACUUUGCCUUUUCUACGUUGUUCUUCUUUGAAAUCACUGCUUUAUAUUAUAUUGUCUUUUUUAUUAGUGUUGGACGUAAAUGUGUUUAUAUGUGUUUGAGGUUGAAAUUAAUCUUUAAGAGUUGGUUAUGUUGAAAAAUACGAUGGGAAGUCUAGCAAUUCGCAAUGUGUGCAUGUUUGACGUUUGGUUGAGUAGAUUUUUAUUCUAGUGUUUAUGUGAAUAUGUAUAAUGUUUACAGUUUCAUUAUGUUUUCUUGAGUUGAAUGUACUUCAAAACAAGGACACCCGAUUACCUCCUUGAUCUACAAUAUAAAGCAAGAUCUAUGAAAGAGGGGACGAGGUUGUAUUUUGUUAUUGAGGAAUGCUUCUUUAGUUUUUCUUAGCAAGGUCGUACUGGUAAUCCAAAAGAACCUCAUAGUGGUCCCUUAUUUGUAAAAUGAGUGAUGAACAGUCCAACUAAACCUGAUUGCACUUAAUUUCUUUUCUUCUCUCGUGCAUAUAGGAUAUAUAUCUUGGUUGGAUGAUCUCUCGGUCGGUGUCUUCUUGGUUUGCCAUAUCAAUGGAGAUACUAUUAAGAGGAAGUAAAAUGUAGUUUUGACCUUUAGUUUCUCCUAUAGUUUUGAAUGAUAAAACAAGAUAACAGUUAGAAAAUUCUUGAUCAAAUUUGUCCUCUCUUUAUUGCUUGUUAAAUGAAUUUCCUGAUUCAUUACAGUUAGCUUAUCAAUCUCCACAAAUCCCAUGGUCCUCGAGUGAUAUCUGCUUUAUUCCUAUAGAGUAGAUAAAACAUUGUUUUAUUAGAGUCUUGAUUAUUUGUUUCUUGUUAAAAUAUCAUCUAGAUCUCCUUCUUUGGCUACGGCUUAGUAUGUCAAUAUGUUCGUCUUGACCUGACUCAUUUGUUUUCUCAUAAUGUUUACUCGAUAGUAAGUAAUCAUAGCAUGAUAGCUUGUUUUGUUUAAGUAAGAAAUAAAUAUCAAAUCUUGGUCCCAAGUUGGUAAUUCGCAAUGUCUUAUGCUAAGGGGUUUUCUUUUCAAAUUCUUAUUUUUAUCUAUGCUUAAACUGACCACUCUUGUGGUUGGCUUAGCUACUUUCCUUUCAUGUAACCUCUUCAAAGACGUUGAUUUGAUAAAUUGAGUCAAAGAUAUGUAUAUUUCGGGAGCUUUAGAUGGUGGAAAAUUUUUUCCUUUCUCUUUUGGAAAUGGUUUGGUGGAAUAAGUUUGAUUUUAACUUGAAUUGAACCAUAGUAUCUCUUUCUAUAUUUUUUCUUUUAAACACGUAUGCGAUUGAAAUCAAGGCUAAGCUUAAAUUUUGUAUUGGUAAAUUUUGCCUCACAGAAUUAAUGUGCUGACAAGUGUUUCCUAGUAAGAAUAGCCCUUUUUUUUUCUUUUUGUUAUAAAAUAAAAUAACGAAGUAAAGAAACUAAGAAACAGAUAGUUGAGACUUUAUUAUAUUUUGAUCUAUGUACAAAAUGGAAACAAAGGCAUGCCUUUAUAUGUAAUUUUACCAACAUUCCAACCAGUGGGAAUAGUUGUUUUAUGCAUGGAAAGUCUUCAUUUGAAAAUGAUGGCAAUGUUGAUAGUGGAUAAGAUAUCCACACUACCGAUUAUUUCUUAACACUCCCCCUUGGAUAUCUAACACAAAAUUAAAAGAAACUCUAAUAAUGCAUAUCUUGUAAUAUACAUUUUUUUUUGUUUUCUCAAUUUCCUCAUUAAAAACCUUAUCAAGGAAAAUCCAAUAGGACAAAACCUUGAUUGCGGAAAAAAAUUAAUGUGCAUUUACUCCCCCUGAUUAAAACAUCACUAAAUAUCUCAAAGAUGUCGCAUCCUAAUCUUGUAUAUCAUCUUCUCAAAUGUUGAGGUUGGCAAUAUUUUGGUGAAUAAGUCUGCUCAAUUGUCACUUGAACAAACCUAGCAUAAGUUGAUAUUGCCAUUCUUUUAGAGUUCAUAUGUGUAGAAAAGUUUUGGAAAAAUGUGCUUCGUUCUAUCUCCUUUUAUGAAUCCACCUUUUAAUUGUGUUAUGCAUGCUUCUUUAUUUUUAUACAAAAUUGUGGAUACUUUGUUACAUUCUAGACCAUAAUUUUCUCAAAUGAGAUCUAUCAUGGAUCUCAACCAUACACAUUCCCAACUUUCUUCAUGAAUAGUUAUUAUUUCCGCAUGGUUUGAUGAAGUGGCCAUGAUCGACUACUUUGUAGAUCUCCAAGUUAUGGUAGUACCCCUAUAUAUGAACACAUAGCCUAUUUUAGAUCAAGCUUUGUGUUGAUUAGAUAAAUACCCUACAUCAGCAUAACCAAUAUAAUCGGGACUACAAUCUUUAGAAUAAAAUAAGUCCAUAUUGGUAGUUCCUUUUAGAUACCCGCAAUAUGUUUUUGAUUUCAUUCCAAUGCCUCCUAUUAGGAGCAAAACUAUACCUUGCUAGUAAAUUAACAGAAAUGUUUAUAUCAGGCCUUAUAGAGUUAGCAAGAUACAUUAGUGAACCGAUUGCACUAAGGUAUGGUACUUCAGGACCAAGAAUUUUCUUGUUCUUUUCUUAAGUUCGUAAUAGAUCCUUAGACACACCAAGUGAUCAAAUAACCAUCGGAGUACUUAAUGGAUGUGCUCCAUCCAUAUAAAAUCUUUUCAAAACCUUUUUGUAUUAGUAGAUUGAUGGAAAAAGAUACCAUUUUUCAAAUGAUCAAUUUUCAAACCAAGACAUAAUCUUGUCCUUCCAAGAUCUCACAUCUCAAAUUCCUUCUUUAAAUAAUCAAUUGCCUUUUGAAACUCUAUUGGAGUUCCAAUAAGAUUUAUGCCAUCAACAUAAACAACAAGUAUAACAAACUCGGAUUGUAUUCUUAUUAAAAACACAUGGGCAAAUUUAUUUUUUUGUAUAACCUUCUUUAGAUAAAUACUUACUAAGACGGUUAUACCUUAUGCGUCCAGGUUGCUUCAAAUCAUAUAAUGAUUUCUGAAAUUUAAUUGAAUACAUUUCGAAAUGCCUCGUGCAUUUUAUAUCCUUCAGGAAUUUUCAUAUAUAUCUCAUUAUCGAGUGAUCAAUAAAGAUAGGUUGUAACCACAUCCAUCAAAUGAAUUUCAACUCUCUCAUAGACAGUGAAACUAAUGAGGUAACGUAAUGUUAUUCCAUCCAUAACUGGUGAGUAUGAAUCUUCAUAAUCGACACCAGGCCUUUGUGAAAAUCCUUGUGCAACAAGGCGUACCUUAUAUCUUUGUAUUUUAUUUUUCUUAUUUCUUUUAUGCACAAAGAUCCAUUUACAGCCAAUAGGUUUGAUACCAUUUGGUUUUUGAAUAAUAGGUCCAAAAACUUCACUCUUGACAAGUGAAUUCAACUCAGAUUGAAUUACUUCUUGCCAUUUUGGACAAUCAUUUCUUUAUCGACAUUCUAUGACUGAAUGAGGUUCGAGAUCCUCACUAUAUUGCAUGAUUUUUGUUGCAACAUUAUAUGCAAAGACAUAGUCCACCACUAUUUUUGAUCGAUUCAAAUUAGCUUUACUAUCACUUGUAUUUAAAAAUAAUUCCUAAUUUUCUUGAGGUUCAAGCUCAUUGGUUCCUUCAGGGAUAUCAAAAUUGUUCAAAUCUUGAACUUUCAAAUGAGAUAUUUUCAUAGUGUCAUCUUGAUCACUUAUUUUUCUUUUUCUAGGAUUUCGAUCCUUAUAACCUAAUGGUCUACCACGCUUCAUGCAUGCUUUGGACGCAUUAGCCAUGACACUAGUAGAUUGUCCUGUAGGGACCUCAAUUCAUAUUGGGACAUUCACUGCAGGAAUGUAUGAUUUCAUAAUCCUUUUUAAAUUUAUAAAUGUGUCUGGCAUUUGAUUUGUAAUUUUCUGCAAGUUAAUAAUCUUUUGUACCUCUUGUUCACAAAUAGAAGCACGCGGAUUAAGAUGAGAUAGCGAUAAAUUUUUUCACAAAAAUUCUAUUUUAAAUUCAUUAUUUUCUCCCCUAAUUUUGGGAAAUAGUCUCAUCAAACUGAUAAUUCGCAAAUAGAGCAGUAAAUAUUUCUCCAAUUAAUGGUUCAAGGUAACGAAUAAUAGAGGGUGAUUCAAACCCAACAUAUAUUUCUAACCUUCUUUGGGGCCCAUCUUUGUGUGAUGUGGUGGUGCAAUAGGCAUAUACACAGCACAUUCAAAAUUUUCAAAUGAGUUAUAUUAGGCUCUUGACUCAAAAUCAACUAUAAUGGAGAAAAUUUAAGAUAAUUUAUCGGUCUGAGACGAACAAGUGCUGCAACAUAUAAAAUAGCAUGACCCCAAACAAAGGUGGGCAACUUAGUUUUUAUAUGAAAUAGUCUUGCUAUCAAUUGUAGACUUUUAAUUAAUAACUCAGCAAGGCCAUUUUGAGUGUGACCAUAAGCUACAGGAUGUUUAACUUUUAUCCCAAUUGAUAAACAAUAAUUAUUAAAUGCUUGGGAUGAAAACUCUACAGCAUUAUCAAGGAGAAUAAACUUGGUCUAAUUGUCAGGAAACUGCACCUUCAAUAAUAUCAAUAAUUUUGAAAAUGCCAAGUUGCAAGAUGACAAUAGGCACACAUGGGACCAUCUAGAAGAAGCAUCAAUUAAAACCAUGAAAUAUUAAAACGACCCACUAAGUGGGUGACUAGGUCCACAAAUAUUCCCUCGUAUACGUUCUAAGAAAGCAGGGGAUUCAAUCUCAACUUUAGUUUGUGAUGGCUUCACAAUUAGUUUGCCUUGAUAAUAGGCAGUACAAGAAAAUUCAUUAUUUGAAAGAACCUUCAUGUUCUUUAAUGGAUCCCCAUUUGAAUUUUUAUAAUUCAUCUUAUCAUUAUAGAUCCAGGAUGUCACAAUCGAUCGUGCCUAAGUAAAAAAAAUAUUAGAAUUAGUAAAUUUUUUAUUUACUAUAGAAUGCACUAAUCUUUGUCCAAUACAAGCCAGAAGAUAAAGCAGAAAACUUUUCUAUUGCCCAGAGACAUUCUUGGUAAUACCAAGAUAUUCAUGAUUCAACUCAUCCACCGUGUUGAUAUGAUAACCAUUUUCACGGAUAUCUUCAAAACUCAACAAGUUUCUCCAAGACUUAGGAGAAAGCAUAACAUUAUUUAAAUGAGUUUAGCUCCCUUAGAAAAAAUUAUAAUGGCUCUUCCCAAGCCUUCAAUCAAAUUAGUACUGUCAAAAAUUGUAGUAACAAUUAUUUUUCCCAUACUUAAAUGAGAAAAAAAAUUCUCAUAUUUAAAUAUUGUAUGUGUUGUACUAAAAUUAAUAAAGCAAAUGUCUUCAUAAUUGCAUAACUUCCUUUGAAAAUUAUCCAUAUCUUCAAAUAAAAUAACAUAUAUAAAAUAAAUAUAUAUUAACUAUUAAUGAUGGAUAAACUCAAAGUCAACACUAAGUAGUAAUAAAUUUGAGCAAUUAAAUGAGUGACAUUCACUUUCAUGGUAAGUAUUGAUAGAAAUUCAUAAGUACUAAGAUUCUUUUUUUUACGUACUUGUUGAGAACAAUAUCAAUAAUAAUAGUUAGUCCAUGUUAAAGAAAAUUUAUUAGUAAUUUAUUAAAUGUUUCUCUGUAAACAUAACUCGGUGAAGUAUAUUUUAUGAUAUCCUAAAAGAUGCAUGAAUUAAGACUAUAAUUUAAUGAGAAAAGUUUUUUUCUUUUCAAAAGCAGAUAGUAGAUUGUAAUAUUAAAUGUGAUAGGAUCAAUCCAAAAAUAAAUGAAACGACCCGAACUGGGGCUUUGUCAUAACGGGCAUCCCAAGUCUAACUAGGAUCGGGGACCACCACGGUUACCCAACCCAACUGCCAAAUGCAUACACUGAGUCGGAUGAAUUUCGAACAUAUAACAAGAUAGCAUAUUUGUACAAAUCCAGACUCUGGGAUAGGUUUGUGACUGUGACCAACCCAAGUAAGUCCAACCAUCCAAUACCCAACCAAUAACCAUACCAAAACCAAACCAUAACCAAGAACAAGUCCAUAACAUAAAAGGAUGGAACAAUCAUAAAUACAGUCAAAUGGUAUUAUCCCCAAUACCAAUGCCAAUACUAAGGGUGACACCAAUACCAACACCACCUAUUCCAACCCAUAGUAGUUCCAUAAAGCCUCUAUCCAAAAGUAAAACAAUAUCCAAUUGGGACAUGCCCCUAACCACAGCUAAAAUUAAUGUCUAUGAAAUAACCAAAGUAUGUAAAAACAUCUAUGACAUGAAAUAGAUCCUUCUGGAAUAUGAAAGCUCACCACUUCAAUCCAACCAAGCUGAUCCCGAAUUCGAUCACUAAGCAGGAGUAGAAUAGUUGAUUCCUGCAUCGCGUGAGGAUAUAGCCGCCCGAAAAUGGGCUAGCGGGUGAAUGCUAGCAAGUACUCAGGAUAAGGAUAAAAUAAUACCAAUCUUUAAAACCAAGUAAACCAACCAUAUAUAUUCACAACCAUACAUACAUAUACAUAUAUAACCAUGCUGGGAAAGGAAAUCGAGUUUAGCAUGACAUUAAAACCAUUAACCUAGGUAUCUGUAGCUUAGCCAUCGUAGAACCACCCAUGAGCAAUAUAUCUCCAGUGUAACCCCCUAAACGGGCCCCGAUGAGUGUAGACGCAUAAACUAGAGAUACCAUAGGAGUAGGGGAUUCCCAUGUACCCCGAAAGUAUCAUAUAUGGUCGCCAUGACCAAUCCUCAUGUUGGUAAACAUGAGUUUCCGAUGUCCAUCCAUUGGACUCACACCUUCACGGUUAAGUAUCACACCCCACCAUUAUUUCCAAAUUAAAACCAUUACCACAUAUCCAAACCACCAUUCUAUUUAUUAUUAACCAAGGCUAUAAGUAGUGGUAUCGUCAUACUGAUUAUAGCUUGCAAGUAACAUCCUUAGCUAACCUUUUUAAAGAAGAAGGGAUUCCCAUGUACUGACAGAUUACAUUAUUAAGUUGGCUUGAGGGAAUCCCAUAUACCCCAUAAGUGAUCAUUAUUAUUUUUGCUUGGGGGAUUCCCUUGUACCCCAUAAGGCUUUCAAUUAGACCAACCAUAACCACUAAGACCUUACCAUUUAACCAUUUAAAUCAUUUAUACCAUUUGGAGUUACAUUAUCAAGUUAUACCAUGCAAUAGUUUAAUGAAAGUCAAACAAUUUAACCAAAAUAUUCUUAUAGUAAUUUUAUCAAACAUUUUAAGGGCAUAGCAUUUUCCAAACCAAAACCAAGUACCAAUUAACCAUUCCCAUGCAACCAAAUAUUCACACCACCAUAACAAUAUGAGAACCAUAAGUAAAAGAAAUGGGAAAACCAUAACCAACCAUUGUAACCAAAACCCCCCAAAUUAUAUUUGAAAAUCCAAAACCAUACAACAUUUAUGCCAUAAAAACAAUUCAUAAAACAUGCCUUUAGUUGGAACUAACAAUGAGUGAGGAGUAACAUGGCUUCGAUUGAGAAGAAGAUGAGAAGAAAUCACCCUUAUGAGCCUCAAUUGACCAUCUUAAAGGAAACCCUAGCUUUUGCUAAACCCAAGAGCCUUGAGCAAUUUUAAGAGAGUUUAGAGUGUUUGAUUGAUUGGAAAUAGGCUAAUGAAGCCCCAAAAAGGUGUUUUAAGUCGUGGGGUCCCAAAGAGUUAUAAGGGGAAAUGUCCAGAAUACCUCCAACUUAAACUGUAUUAAUUUUAUUCAGGAGGGUACGACUUCACCCUACCACUCAUACCCUAUCAUACGAGUGGUAUCCACCACUCGUACCCUAGGUUUCCCUGAGACCCCUAACACUACCCCAUAUACGACUACCAAUCCCCAAUCAUACCCUAACAUACGAGAGGUACCCUUAACCCGUACCUAAAGCAGAAUCAAGAGGGGUUGACACUGUCUAAUAUACGAGCUGGACUAUACCACUCGUACCCUAUCUCAUGACUCAUGGUGAGCCACUUAUACUCAGAUCUUAGUUAUGUAACUAAGUUUCAAAUUAAGUAAAGAAAAAACCAAACCAAUGACCUAUCACCCACCAUAUGACUCAUACCCACCUAAAUUAUACUCAUUCUAGAUAUUUAACCACCCAACACUAGAUAACAUACGACUGGGUCACCUGACCCGUACCCUCACCAUAUGACUAGUAUAGUGAGUCGUAUGAUAUCCAGAAAGUCCAAAAAACCUAAGAUAUUUCUAAGGACCAAAACUCAGGGUGUUUUAGUCUCCCCCACUAGGAUAAUUCAUCCCCGAAUGACAGAUAUGGCACUACAAGAAUGAAUUACACCCAAUCAUAACCAUUCCAACCUUUAACUAAGUUAGAAAAAAAAUUCAAGGAAAUCAACCUUUCUUUAACCAAGUUAGAAAACAAAUAUGCAAUCAAGAACACAAACCUUCCACACGAAUAUCUAAAGCAGAAAAUAAAUUUGUAGUAACGCCCUAUAUUUCCCUAGAAUAAUCUAAGUCAAAAUACAUAAGUAUUCGUACAUAAAAUUUUUGACACUCAUUUUUUUUAGUUUAGAUCCUUCUAUUGUAUAACAAAUUCAAUUAUCUUUCCAACGAUAUAAAAUUUUCCCAAAUCUAAUAUUCGGGUAAGACGUUAUGGCGAUUUUAAGUUCCAGUAGUUAAACACUGUUAUUUUGACCCUUAGCACAUCGCGGAGUCAGUGUAAAUAUCAAUUUUCAAUUUCUAGUGUUUCUCCACGAUAGUGGAAUAUCGCGCCAUAGGCUCAGUUCAUAAUUGUCCAAUUUUGGUGAGGCAGCGCGAUCAUGGCGCGUCGCGCCAAUGGUGAAAAUCAGAAUCAAAGAGGCACUGUAAUUUCUUUGCGUCGCACUGUCAGCCCAGUUCCCAGUUGUAAUUUUCCAGUGACACAGCGUGAUAGCGCUACAUCGCACCAGGUUCUCAUUUUGGAAAAAUUUGACAAAAAUUAAAAGUUUUCCCCAAGGGUAAAACAGUCCUUUCCCCUUAUUUUAAUCCUCCUAGGUGUGCUUUUAAGCCCUAAAAAUGUUUUUAAACUCAUUAGUUUAAUUAUUUUCCCCCAAAUAAAGAAGCUUUCACUCCUGAAUCAAGAACUUAGCUCUCCAAUUUCAAGGACAAUCCUCAAGAACUCACCAAGAACUUCAAAAAAUUCAUCAAUUAAGGUAUGUUAGAUGUUCAUCUAUGGAUUCUUUUUAUCCAUGGAGCCCAAGUAACCCAUUUUAAUCAGCAAAUUAUAAUCUUUUCAAGUUACCAUGAUUUAAAUUAUGAUUUCAUCCAUGAAUCUCCAUACACUAUUGAUUUUAUACCAUGUUACCAUGAAAUAAUCGUUCCUAUUCAAUUCUCUAUGUGUUAAUAUUAUUAUUUAUUGAAUUAAAUCAUGAUUUAGUACUAUUGUGUUGAACUCAUGCUAUUUUUAUAAGUUCCAUGGCAUUCCUAUGAUUGUUUUAAACCCUGAACGAUAAGUGUUUGAUAAAAUGUCUUCAAGAGUGAUUGAUUUAAAUAAAAGCCUUCAUGUUUUGUCCUUCAAGGUUUGGUAUCAUUUUACUAUUAUUGUUUUAAGUCCUAGGGGUAUUGAAUACCUGAAAUCCAUAGCUGUUUACUUAGUCUAGUAUCAGUACAUUACAGAGUAGUCUUCAGAAUAUACUAUGAGAACUAUCAGAAUAGUCAGUUCCCAGUUAGAUGAACUCAGAACAGUCUAGCACUUCAGUGUCUUUCAGUUGGGAGUAGGAUUUAGCACCGAGCGAGUGUAGGAAUGGAAACUUCCCCGUCAGAUAGGCAGAGUUAUUAGUAGCAGUCCCUAUACUCCUGAACUACAUAGCCAGCGUAGGGUAUAAGAAGUCACCCGUUAGAUCAGGCUUGACAAUCUCACAUGGGUCACCCUUAAGUUCAGGCUUGACACCCUUAGUCCUUUGGAUAUUCUAUUAGUUUAGUGGAUCCACAUAGUCAUCGUUAGUACCCGUGGCAAGGUAUUAACACCCUUAAAACUAGGAUUACAGGUUGGACCCAGAUUAGCUUAAAUUGGAGAAUGUUGGUUAGAUGAUACCUCCUACAUUCUCAAAUAUAGUCUCAGUUCAGUUAUGCAGUCUUAGAGUUCAGAAAUUUGUAUUUUUCAUUAUUUCAAUUUAUAGAUUUUACUCAGUCCAUGUUAUAUGCUUGGUCAUGCAUCCUCAAUGUCUACAGAUUUCCAUGUAUCUUCAGUAUUUACAGACUGUCAUGCAUACUCGGUAUUUAUAGAUUCUCCAUAUUUUCAGUAUCUAUAGACUCUAUGUUCUCUAUUCAGUACUCCAUGUUUUACAUCCAUAUUCAGUUAAUUAGUUGUUUUUUUCAUCAAACCAUGCCUAUCAGCCUACCUCAUUUAACAUACCAGUACAUUCAAAGUACUAAUCGCAUACCUUUCUUUUGCGCUAUAAUGUAUUAUAUCAUAGGUACUGAUGUUUAGUUCUCGUACCGUGCUUAGACUUCACUUCUUAGGCUAUCAGUAGUACAGUAGUAGUGGUGAGUCCUCAUCAGUCGAGGACAGAUUAUUUUACUUCAUAUCUUUAUUUCAGUAGUUAGCAGAGUUAGUAGGGGGCCUGUCCCAUAAACUCAUAUUCAGUUAGUCAGUUUUAAAGGCUUUUCAAACAUUAGAGUUAGUUAUUCAGUAUUCAAACAUUACAGUUAGUUGUCCAGUUUAUUAUUAUUUUAUCAGAUUCAGUCGGUUAUUUCUAUAGACUCAUUUUUUAGUUUUAAAUUUAGUUAUUAAAACCUUAUGGCAUGCCAGUAUUCUUUUGUAUUUAUGAUCAUGUUAUCCAGUGCUCACUGCAUGUACCAGCUCAUGGGUUAGCUUAUGGUCCCUCGGGACUGUAGGCACCGUGUGAUGACUAGGGGGUAGUCCCGGGUCGUUACAAACAUGGUAUUAAAGCCUAAGGUUUUAAAGUGUCCUGGGAAGUCUAAAAGCCACAUCAAGUAGAGUCUUGUGCAUGGGUGUAUAGAGUACUACACUUAUAGACGAGAGGCUACAAGUCGUUUAGGAAAAAGUUCCCCUUCUUUCAGUAUUCAUGUCGUGUAAGUGAGCAUGAGCUCAAGUUAAACUCUCUGUAUAAUCUAUUUAUUCCUUCCAUUUAUAGAACAUGCCUCCCAAUAAGAAUGAAAGAUGAACAGGAAAUUAGCCAUCCCCUCAGCCCAUCAAAGCAGAUACUAUGGACGAGCACGUCUCUCAUGCAGAAUUCAGGGUUGCGUUCACUACUUUAGCCAAUUCCAUAGCAGCACAAAAUGAAUGGCCAACUACUAUUUCAGCCAACCCAAUUGCUAAUACUACUGCAACUAAAAUUUGAUAUUUCAUCGGGAUAAAUCCUCCUUUCUUCAUGGGAUCCAAGUCUAAAGAGGAUCCACAGAAAUUCUUAGCUAUAGUGCAAAAAGUAAUGGAUGUGAUAGGGGUAACAUAUAGUCAGAGUGCCGAGUUGGCUGCAUAUUAGUUAUAGGAUAUAGUGCAUAAUUGGUUUAAGCAGUGGAAGGUAGAUAGGGGUGUUGAUACAGGGCCUGUAGAGUGGGAAGAGUUUGCCACAGAUUCUUAGAUAGAUUUUUUCCAUUGGAGUUGAGGGAGGCCAAAGUGUUAAAGUUCAUUAACUUGAGGCAGGUCAGUAUAAGCGUGAGGGAGUAUUCCCUUAAGUUUACUCAGUUAGCUAAGUAUGCUCCUCAUGUGGUAGCUGAUAACAGGUCUAAGAUAAAUAAGUUUGUGUCUGGCGUAUCUGAUAGUGUGGUCAAGGAGUACAGGACCACAAUGCAUAUUAGUAAGAUGGACUUGUCUAGGUUGAUGGUCCACGCUUAAUAUAUAGAGGAGCAAGAGAUUUAGGAGAGAGAAAGAGCAAAUAAGAGAUCUAGGACGGCUAGUUUUAAUUUUAGUUAACCAAAGUCAGAAGGUGGAAACCGUCCUCAGUUUCAUCAGAGGUCUACAGCCUCAGCACCCUCUUCAGAUAGUGCCCCAGUACCCAAAUUCAAAAUAACAAUAGGGAUAGGGCACCAGGCUCUAAGUCCCAGGUCAGUAUUAGCAGUGCUCGUACAAAUCCUCUAGGUCAGAAAUGUGGAAGACACCAUCUGGUUAAGUGUAGAGUGGGUAGCAAUAUGUGUUUUAGCUGUGGAAAACUAGGACAUCGGAUUUGGGAGUUUUGGGUAGUUGCUCAAAAAGGUAGGGAUGUGUGCCCACAGGCUAGUCCCAUCAGUCGUAAGUUCCAUUCGGUCGCCCGACUCAGCAGGGUAUCACUUCCAGUGCUACUAGUGGUCAACAUCCGAAUAGAUUAUAUGUUCUUCAGUCCUACCAAGAUAAAGAAAAUUUGCCUGACAUAGUUACUGAUACAUUGCAGGUCUUUCACAUACAUAUUUAUGCUUUACUAGAUCUUGGAGCUUCUCUUUCAUUUGUAUCUCCAUAUAUAGCUAUUAAUUUCGAAGUCAUUCCCAAAAAUCCAGAAGAGCCCAUUUUAGUAUCUACCCCAGUAGGUAUUUCCAUUGUAGCCAGACAGGUAUACAGGAAUUGUUCGGUCAUAAUAUCUCAAAAAGUUACCUCAGUUGAUCUCGUGGAGUUAGAGAUAACAGAUUUUGACAUUAUUCUAAGCAUGGAUUAGCUCCACUCAUACUAUGCCUCAGUUGAUUGUAGAAAUAGAAUAGUUCAUUUUCAGUUCCCAAAUGAACCAAUCCUUGAAUAGAGAGGUAGUACCACAGCUCUUAGGGUUCAGGUGAUUUUGUACCUUAGAGUGGAAAAAAUUAUAUCAAAGGAGUGUAUUUACCAUAUUAUGCGAGUCAAAGACUCUAACUCAGAAACUCCAACUCUUGAGUCAGUUCCAGUUGUAAAUGAAUUCUCAAAUGUAUUUUCUGAAGAUCUGUCUGGAGUUCCUCCCAAAAGGGAAAUUAACUUCAAAAUAGACCUUCUUCCAGAUACUCAACCCAUAUCUAUUCUGCCAUAUAGAAUGGCUCCACCAGAACUCAAGGAGUUAAAAGAAUAGUUAAAGGAUCUCCUAAUAAGGGAUUCAUCAGACCCAGUGUCUCCCCAUGGAAUGCACCUAUUCUAUUUGUGUGUAAGAAAGAUGGUUCUCUCAAAAAGUGCAUAGACUACCAUCAGUUGAACAAAGUCACAGUCAAGAAUAAAUAUCCACUUCCUAGAAUCGAUGAUUUAUUUGAUCAACUUCAGGGUGCCAGCUACUUUUCAAAGAUAGACCUCAGAUUAGGCUAUCAUCAGCUUAGAGUCAAGGAAUGUGACAUUCCAAAAAUAGUUUUUCUAACUCAGUAUGGUAAUUACGAGUUUCUAGUCAUGUCCUUUGGUCUCAUGAAUACCCCAGCAACCUUCAUGGACUUGAUAAAACGAGUGUUCAAGUAGUGCUUUGACAUGUUUAUCAUAGUCUUCAUUGAUGACAUUCUUGUUUACUCCCGUAGUGAAACUGAUCAUGCAGCCCAUCUUGAAAUAGUGCUGCAAAUUCUUAGAGCUCACCAGUUAUUCUCUAAAUUAAGUAAGUGUGAAUUCUGGCUAAGAUCAUUAGCUUUACUUGUCCAUAUUAUUUCCGGUGAUGGCAUUAGAGUUGAUCCUUAAAAGACUGAAGAGGUGAGAAACUAGCCUAGACCCAUCUCUCUAUCAGAUAUCAGGAGUUUCUUGGGUUUGCUUGGCUAUUAAUAUCAGUUUGUUGAAGGAUUUUAUUCUAUUGUAUACCCAUGUCCAGACUGACUCAGAAGAAAGUUAAGUUUCAGUGGUCAUAUUCAUGUGAGAAGUAUUUUCAGGAGUUGAAGACUCAACUUACCUCAGCCCCAGUCUUGACUCUACCAAAUAGUUCAAAUAGCUUUGUUGUGUACUCUGAUGCAUCUAGGGUAGGUUUAGGCUGUGUCCUCAUGUAGAGAGGUAAGGUCAUAGCCUAUGCCUCCAGACAGCUUAAACCCCUUGAGCAGAAUUACCCUACUCAUGAUCUUGAGUUAGAAGUUGUAUGAUGUAUGAGCAGAUGCUAACAUAUUUGAAGCUUUUAACUAAGAAUAAUUGCAAAGUCUUAAGCAAAUUUUAUCAUUUUUGAUUGUUUUAUCUUUAAUUUUUCUAUGGAAGUCAAGAGGCAAGAGAACCAAUAAUGAUGGAAGUAAAAGAGUUGAAAUCUGAAGCAAAUAGAAGAGAAGUGUGGCUGACCACAUUCAUGAUAAGUUAUCAGCACUCUAAUAGGUUAUCAGCUUUAUUGUCAUCCUUAAACAGAGAAUGGGAUUCAGUUGGAAGAAGUGAUAACCACGACAUAUGAUAAGCCGUCAGCCUUGUGAUAAGCCAUCAGAGUCGCCGUCAGCCUUAGACAGAACAUGAGAGCUGAGGUGGAUAAGUGAUGACAUUAUCUGAUAUGUCAUCAUAGUUUUGAUAAGCUAUCAGGAUUCACCGUCAGCCUUAAGCAGAAGUUGUCAAAAGCGAAGAGGAGCUGACGACAUCUAUGAUAAGUCAUCAGACUCCUGAUAAGGCAUCACAAAAUAUCGUCACCUGUCUGAAAAAUUACUGAACUAUGUGAUUUUGUUUCCAUAGUUAGGAUGAAGUAUUUAAAGCAUAUUUUAGGAUUUUCUAAUUAUAAAAGGAGGCUAAACAUAUCGGGAGGCGGAACAUAUCGGCUGGGACUCGACAUUCUGAACCUAUUUUGGAAUGCACGUAUUUUGUAAUUUUCUCUCUAGUUUCUUGGAUUGAACAAAAUAAUUAAUUUUAAAGAGAUUAUCAUCAAUAUUUUCGAAUUUAUACUUUGAUCUAAUAUGAGAAACACUCGUUGCUAUUCAUCUUGCUGUAAGUUCAUCUUUCCAAUUAUGAAUUCAACUCGUUGUAUCAAUUAUUACAUUAUGAGUGGCUAAAUCCCUUUAACCCAAACUAUGGGAUCUAUGGGUUAGGUCUUAGUAAGUUGAUAAGUGUUCAAGAUUCUAAAGAUAAUAGGACUCCUUGAUAAUUCUGGGGUUUUAAUUAUUGUCUAUUGGUUGCAAACGAUAGAUAGCACCUGCUUUGAUUUUCUUGAGAAGUCAACUAUAGUAGGAAGUGAAUUAUUGACAGGGACUUGGAAGCUACCAACCUUUCGUUUAAUAAUUAAUGUUGUAACAAGGUUAAUUAACCUAAGGUGAAGUCAGGUUAGUGAAUAUAAAUUCCCUAAGUCUAAGAGGAUUAGGUAAUUAAAUGCUUACAGGUCGAGAGAUAUUUAGGCAUAACUUUGAUAAAGACAAUCUGUUGUUCCUACUUAUCGUGAGAAUCUUGAAUCACUAUUAGCAUCUGUCAAGUACCAAAACCCAUAGUAAACAUUAUUCUGGUUUUCCAUGAACUCUUGAUUGCAAACACUGAAACUAAAGUGACCAACAAUUAUUUGUUAAAAUUUUCAAAACCCCUCAUUUUGUCUUUUCGUAUCAUUUGUUUGAAUUUAAAUUUUAGCUUUACUUUCAAACCAGUUUAAUCGUCACUCACAUUGUUCCCUGUGGAUUCAACCCUGACUCUAAAGUUGGGUAAAUAUAUUAACGACGAUCGCCUUGCACUAAAUUAACGUGUAAUUUGAGCGUUAUCAAAAAUGGUGAUGUUCUCGGAGAAUAAUUUGGCGUAUUGAUUUGGUUUGGAAUUUUAGCUUACUUGCUUGAAUUCAAACUUGUAAAUAUUUGUUUAGUUUUUUUUUAUUUUCUUUUAUUUUUAUUUUUUUCUCACACCUUUCUUGAGAUGUCAACCUGAAUAGAUGGUUUUUUGAGUGAUCAUAAUUCUUGUUAUUAUUGUAGGGGACCUUCACAAUAUGAUGCGGUCAUUGUUGUAAUUGGGGAACAGACUGUAACUUUGUGUUUGGCUUGUGGUUAAAGUGAUCAUUCUAAAGAUAUAUGUGCUAUCAUAAUUCAAAUGGACAAAUUGAUUAAACGAAUUUUAGAGAAUCAAGCACAGUUGUGGGUAGAGCUGAAGGAGUUACCACUGCCACCAUGUCUACAAUGGCUAAACAAAGAAGAAUAUGAGGAGGAAAUUAGCCAAUUUAUGGAGAAAACACAAGAAUCGUAGCCACUCGAUUACCAUCUUGAUCUUGAGACUGACAUUAAGAAGGUGAACAAAAGUGAGUUAUAGUUGAUAGUGUAAAUUUUGAAGUAGGAUUGAUUAGGCCUCAUUCAAAGCACUUUUCUACAUUAUGUUUAGAUGAUAUCUUGUUUGUGGAAUCAUUUAAAAUAGUAGAAGAGUGUGAAGAAGAGGAACAAGAAUCUUAUAUUCUUAAUUUUACAUUAGACAAGCAACAUAAAAACACACCUCACUUUAAGGCCGAGUGGUUUACCACGCUCAAUCCAUUUCUCGACUUCUUAAUUUUUAUACCACCCCCUAUGAGCGAGGCAAGAAGAUGGACUCUAAGUUGGGGUGAAAUUCAUAUCCUCAAGGUGAAGGAAAAAGUUGAGUUAGGUCAUGCCGCGAUACCAAAUUAGGUGUUUCUUGGGAGAAAACCCAAGGUAUUUUGUUGUUUGUAUUUGUAUUAUGUGAUUGACAUCAGAUCUUCGUACCCAUAGUGCCACAGGUAUGUUUUUAACUCUCUUGUUUUAGUUUGACGCAUUGGAUACAUUGCAUGAUUUUAAGUUGAGGGUGGGCCUACUUGUGGGUAUUGAUGUCCUCUUAGGGUUUUUGUUGCCGUGCCUCUUUUUCCCAGAGUGUUUUUCCUAGUAGAGCCGGCAUGUUUAAGCGUAUUGUGAUUUGUUGUAAAAUAUUGUAGUUGACAAGGAGAAAUACAAGUACCUUAGGCAGUUAACAUGUUUUUUUGUUGUUUUUGAACACCUCUCCAAUGGUCUAUUUUAUUACUGUGUCAUAUGUGUUUAUGUGUGACCACUGUACAUCUUGUUAUGGCAUUAGUACUAGUGACAUAAUAACCAUUGCUAAAUAAUUGCAUGAACCGAAUGGGUAGUAGCUUGUGAUGUACCUUUGAUCCAUGUGUGUGUAAGAUACUACCUAGUUCCAGUUGUGUGUUAAACCCAGAACUUUCUCAAUUGGUAUUACCUAGUUGUAGGAUAGCGGUUAGGAAAGGAUCAUAGGCCGUUGUUAAUAUUAGUCCACUUUUAGCAUAAAUGACCUUCCAUGUGUAAAUAAUAUUCCUUGAUCCUGAUUUUGAGCUUGAAUCCCUAUUCUUUUUAUUAUACCUAUCACCUUCUCAUUCAUAUCAUAAUGAACCUGUUUUGGCCCUGGUCCUCCUUGGACAUUGUGCACCUUAACUUAGGCAAAUGACCUAAGUUGAGGUUGGCUAUCAUAGGGAUGAGUGAUGUAAAAUGAGUAUGAAUGAAGGUAGAAUACAAAAAAAAAAGCCGGGUGUGGUGGAAAAGAACAAGAAAAGAAAAGUUGUGAAAAAAAAGUGAUUAUAGAAAGGACCGCACCAAUCCUGAAUAUGUGUGAUCAAGAAAAGAGAAGAAUAGAAAAAGGUUAAUAAAUGAGACCCCAGAAGCUAGUGUAGUGUCAAGGAGGCUUAGUCACUUUAAAUAUCAUUGAGUAUCAUACGAGCCCCUAGCCUACAUUAUAAGCCAAAGAGAAGACCUAUAGUGAUCCUAACUGACUCGUCUGAAAAUCUUUGUAAUGAAAAUAAGGGCAAGCCUAUGGUAUUUGGCAUACAUUGAUUGGAACUUCAUUCUGUGAGUAAGCGUCUUUUGACUGUCCCCAUGGUUACAUAUAUGAUGUUUGAUAUAAGUGCAAUGGGACUUCUUUGUAGUGAGGGAACAUUGGUUACGUUGCUAGUUGCUAACUUGUUUGGAUAGUGUAAGCUUGAUACAUGCAUGGUUGUUGUUGUUGCUGAUUUAAUGCCAUAUCUUGAUUCCUAUGUGUCACGUUGUUGCUCUUCAAUAACAUACACAGUUGUUUAUAAAUUGAUUGACCUUGGAGAUGGUGAAGAUGUUUUGAGAUAAUAUGGAUGGUUGACUGCUGAAUGUACUUUGUAUUCUCUUGGUUAUGUUUUAGUUGCUUGAGGACAAGCAAUUGUUUUAAGUUGAGGGUAUUGAUGUGUGAGCAAAUGCUAACAUAUUUGAGGUUUUUAACUGAGAAUAAUUGCAAAGUCUUAAGCAAUUUUUAUCAUUUUUGAUUGUUUUAUCUUUGAUUUUGUAGUUGAAGUCAAGGGGCAAGAGAACCAACAAUGAUGGAAGUAAAAGAGUUGAAAUCUGAAGCAAAUAGAAGAGAAGUGUGGUUGACAACAUUCAUAAUAAGUCGUAAGCACUAUGAUAGGUUAUCAGCUUCAUCGCCGGCCUUAAAUAGUGAAUGGGAUUUAGUUGGAAGAAGUGAUGAUGACAUGGAUAAGUAGUCAGCCUUGUGAUCAGCCGUCAGAGCCACUGUCAGCCUUAGAUAGAACAUGGGAGCUAAGGUGGAAAAGUGAUGAAAGUGUCUGAUAUAUUAUCAUAGUUUUGAUAAGCCGUCAGGAUUCACCGUCAGCCUUAAGCAGAAUUUUUCAAAAGUAAAAAGGAGUUGAUGACAUCUGUGAUAAGUCAUCAGACUCCUGAUAAGGCAUCACAAAAUGUCGUCACAUGUUCGAGAAAUUACUGGACUAUGUGAUUUUGUUUCCAUAAUUAGGAUGAAGUAUUUAAAGCAUAUGUUAGGGUUUUCUAAUUAUAAAAAGAGGCUGAACAUAUCGGGAGGCGGAAUAUAUCAGCUGGGACUCGAUAUUCUGAACCUAUUUUGGAACGCACGUAUUUUGUAAUUUUUUUCUCUAGUUUCUUGGAUUGAACAAAACAAUUAAGUUUAAUGUCUAAGUCCGAGAGGAUUAGGUAAUUAAAUGCUUAAGUAGGUCGAGAGACAUUUAGGCAUAACUUUGAUAAAGACAAUCUGUUGUUCCUACCUAUCGUGAGAAUCUUGAAUCACUAUUAGCAUCUUUCAAGUACCAAAACCCAUAGUGAACAUAAUUCUAGUUUUUCAUAAACUCUUGAUUGCAAACACUGAAACUAAUGUGACCAACAAUUAUUUGCUAAAAUCUCUG
rnacentral:lncRNA from 1 species